rnacentral:tRNA from 2 species
GGGCGAUUAGCUCAGCGGUAGAGCAUUCCGUUCACAUCGGAAAGGUCGCUGGUUCAAUCCCAGCAUCGCCCACCA